GUCGAUCGCACUUUCGUUAAUUGAUUUUGAGAUGCUUGCCUCGAAGAUGAUUUUAACUAUAAAGUGAGUGGCGAACGGGUGAGUAACACGUGGGUAACCUGCCCAGAAGUGGGGGAUAACACCUGGAAACAGAUGCUAAUACCGCAUAACAAAAUUAACCGCAUGGUUGAUUUUUAAAAGAUGGCUUCGGCUAUCACUUCUGGAUGGACCCGCGGCGUAUUAGCUAGUUGGUGAGAUAAAGGCUCACCAAGGCAGUGAUACGUAGCCGACCUGAGAGGGUAAUCGGCCACAUUGGGACUGAGACACGGCCCAGACUCCUACGGGAGGCAGCAGUAGGGAAUCUUCCACAAUGGACGCAAGUCUGAUGGAGCAACGCCGCGUGAGUGAUGAAGGCUUUCGGGUCGUAAAACUCUGUUGUUGGAGAAGAACGUGUGUGAGAGUAACUGCUCAUGCAGUGACGGUAUCCAACCAGAAAGCCACGGCUAACUACGUGCCAGCAGCCGCGGUAAUACGUAGGUGGCAAGCGUUAUCCGGAUUUAUUGGGCGUAAAGCGAGCGCAGGCGGUCUUUUAAGUCUAAUGUGAAAGCCUUCGGCUUAACCGAAGAAGUGCAUUGGAAACUGGGAGACUUGAGUGCAGAAGAGGAGAGUGGAACUCCAUGUGUAGCGGUGAAAUGCGUAGAUAUAUGGAAGAACACCAGUGGCGAAGGCGGCUCUCUGGUCUGCAACUGACGCUGAGGCUCGAAAGCAUGGGUAGCGAACAGGAUUAGAUACCCUGGUAGUCCAUGCCGUAAACGAUGAAUGCUAAGUGUUGGAGGGUUUCCGCCCUUCAGUGCUGCAGCUAACGCAUUAAGCAUUCCGCCUGGGGAGUACGACCGCAAGGUUGAAACUCAAAAG
rnacentral:rRNA from 1 species